AUAUGCUUGUCCCGAAGCUUAAGCCAUGCAUGCGUCCGAAUAACGAGGCGUAUCUCAGAAUCUGCGAACGGCUCCGUAUACCUGUCACCACCCACCUCCCGCAAGCAUUGUAUGCGGGAAAACCUCGGUAAUUCUAUGGCUAAUACGUAUGACUGAUGGGGCCGGCUGGGCGCAAGCCCGGCCGGUUAUAUGCUUGACCUAGGCGACGCCGCGCGACCAACGGCGGGGCCCCCCGGGGCCCUGUUGGCGGGAGUGCCGGUGAUCUGCACCUGAACCGCGGGUAGGUAAGACCGCGGCCGGGCGCAGAUGGGCGCCAGACCUAUCAACUAGAUGCCCGGGGAGCUCCCGGGCAGGGUGGUAACGGGUACAGAGGAUCAGGGUUCGGUCCUGGAGAGGAAGCCUUAGAGAUCGCUUCUACUUCUAAGGAAGGCAGCAGGCGCGCAACGUUCCCAAUGGGGAGUCCCUGAGGACGUGAGGGGACAUACCGAUGCCUGGCCCAGAAAGCCGGGCAAUCGGAAUGGGGGCCAGCCAAACCCCACACCGAGUAACA
rnacentral:rRNA from 1 species